GAUGAACGCUGGCGGCGUGCCUAAUACAUGCAAGUCGAGCGAACGGAUGAGAAGCUUGCUUCUCUGAUGUUAGCGGCGGACGGGUGAGUAACACGUGGAUAACCUACCUAUAAGACUGGGAUAACUUCGGGAACCCGGAGCUAAUACCGGAUGAUAUUUUGAACCGCAUGGUUCAAAAGUGAAAGACGGUCUUGCUGUCACUUAUAGAUGGAUCCGCGCUGCAUUAGCUAGUUGGUAAGGUAACGGCUUACCAAGGCAACGAUGCAUAGCCGACCUGAGAGGGUGAUCGGCCACACUGGAACUGAGACACGGUCCAGACUCCUACGGGAGGCGGCAGUAGGGAAUCUUCCGCAAUGGGCGAAAGCCUGACGGAGCAACGCCGCGUGAGUGAUGAAGGUCUUCGGAUCGUAAAACUCUGUUAUUAGGGAAGAACAUAUGUGUAAGUAACUGUGCACAUCUUGACGGUACCUAAUCAGAAAGCCACGGCUAACUACGUG
rnacentral:rRNA from 1 species